GUUCCUUUGCUGGCACAGUGUUCACCACCCUUUCUACUUCAGCUGACCAGGAGUUCAGCAAGACCCUGUGCCUUACCAGCAAGGCAUCCUUUGGUCACCUUUGACUUUCACACAGCACAGAAAUUCUAGACCUGUUUACCCAGUACUUCUGAUCAUGAGCUUGUGGAAGAGGAACAAUAUACUGGAAUCUUUUCAAAAAGAUUUGGAGUAGGGCACUGCACAACCAAACCUGAGCUGAACUUCAAGUUAGAGCAUGGAUUUGGGCCUUAGAGUAAAGCAGAAGCCUCCUUCUGGAACUUUCCAGUACCUGUCCCAGUUGAGACCAUCCAGGCAAAUGGAGAGAGACACUGGUAUGAAGUGAAAACCACCAGCAGCGAUACAUGAAGAGAUGGCUGAAGCACAGCGCAAGGUUCCACAGAAGAUCCAGCAAGGGGAAAACCCUAUUCCUGUGCGGAAACAUACCGCCAAUGGCCACAGCACGAAAGGAAUCAUACAUGCAGGGGAAAGUGUGGGUGUGGUGAGUGCUGUGACAUUUUCCAUGAUAAGUCAACAGUCACUGAACACCCGAGGACGCAAACUAGAGAGAAGACCUAUGAAUGCAAAGAAUGCAGGAAAGGUUUCUACUUCAAGUCACAACUCUUGGGACACCAGAGAACUCAUACAGGAGAGCAGCCCUAUGAAUGUGAGGAAUGUAAGAAAGCCUUCUGCCAUAAGUGGCUCCUAACUUUACAUCAGAGAACUCGUGCCAGUGAGAAGCCUUUUAAAUGUGAGGGACGCAAGAAAGCUUUCUUUUACAGGUCACACCUCAUUCGACAUCAGAGAGCGCGUACUGGUGAGAAGCCCUAUAGAUACAAUGAAUGCAAGAAAACCUUUUUGGCAGAAAUCAAACCUUAUACACCAAAGACCUCAUGCUAGCAAGAAGCCCUAUGAAUGUGAAGAGUACAAGAAUGUUUUCUAUAGUGAGUCAAACCUCACUUUACAGCAGAGAACUCACACAAGGGAGAAGCCCUAUCAGUGUAGAGAAUGCUGGAAAGCUUUCUACAGCAAGUCAAAACUCCUUCAACAUCAGCAACACAUUCAAGUGAGAAUCCUUAUUAUGUAAACAAUACAGAAAAGGUUCUCUACAGCAGCUGUUUCUCUCUUGAAAUUAGAUUUCAUUCAAAGGGGAAACCCCAAGAGUGUGAGUGACACAAGGAGCAUUGUCAUUUAAGUCAGUCUGCAUUACACCUCACUGAACCCAGAAAGUGAGCUCUAGGAACGCAGAUGAAUGAAGCAUUUCUUCUCUAUUUCCAGCCUCUCUCCAUGACCAACUCAAGAGAAAUCCUGGGUAAUGCAUGAACCCUUGCUAUAGAAUGUCGGUCCUCACUUGACAUCAGAGAAAGCAUGCUGAUGAGACCAAUGAAUGCAAACAAUGUUUGAAAAUGUUCUUCUACCAGUCAGGUCUCAAGCCAGCUCUAGGAACACACAGAGGUGCAACAUACCAGGACUGUACAAAUGACAGAAGGAUUUCUACGCAAGUGGCCUCUUUCUGCAUAAGCGACUCAUACAUGUGAAGUAACAUAUGUGUUUAAAGAAAGUCUGUAUAAUUAGUGAAGCCUCAGUUGACUUCAAGAUACACAAGGAGCUUGGAACCUGCCUGCUCUAGGGUGGAGCUACCGG